AUUUUUAUGCCCCACCUACGAUAGUAGAGGGGCAUUAUGUUUUCUGGUCUGUGGCUCCGUCCGUCUGUGCGUCCGUUCGUCCGUUCAGGUUAAAGUUUUUGGUCAAGGUAGUUUUCGAUGAAGCUGAAGUCCAAUCAACUUGAAACUUAGUACACUUGUUGCUUAUGAUAUGAUCUUUUUAAUUUUAAAGCCAAAUAAGACUUUUGACCCCAAUUUCACGGUCCACUGAACAUAGAAAAUGAAAGUAGGAGUUUCAGGUUAAAGUUUUUGGUCAAGGUAGUUUUUGAUGAAGCUAAAGUCCAAUCAACUUGAAACUUAGUACACUUGUUGCUUAUGAUAUGAUCUUUCAAAUUUUAAAGCCAAAUUAGACUUUUGACCCCAAUUCACGGUCCACUGAACAUAGAAAAUGAAAGUGGGAGUUUCAGGUUAAAGUUUUUGAUCAAGGUAGUUUUUGAUGA
rnacentral:lncRNA from 1 species